GAUGAACGCUGGCGGCGUGCCUAAUACAUGCAAGUCGAGCGAACGGACGAGAAGCUUGCUUCUCUGAUGUUAGCGGCGGACGGGUGAGUAACACGUGGAUAACCUACCUAUAAGACUGGGAUAACUUCGGGAAACCGGAGCUAAUACCGGAUAAUAUUUUGAACCGCAUGGUUCAAAAGUGAAAGACGGUCUCGCUGUCACUUAUAGAUGGAUCCGCGCUGCAUUAGCUAGUUGGUAAGGUAACGGCUUACCAAGGCAACGAUGCAUAGCCGACCUGAGAGGGUGAUCGGCCACACUGGAACUGAGACACGGUCCAGACUCCUACAGGAGGCAGCAGUAGGGAAUCUUCCGCAAUGGGCGAAAGCCUGACGGAGCAACGCCGCGUGAGUGAUGAAGGUCUUCGGAUCGUAAAACUCUGUUAUUAGGGAAGAACAUAUGUGUAAGUAACUGUGCACAUCUUGACGGUACCUAAUCAGAAAGCCACGGCUAACUACGUG
rnacentral:rRNA from 1 species